rnacentral:rRNA from 1 species
CCGAUGGAGUGCUUGCAUUCCUGAGGUUAGCGGCGGACGGGUGAGUAACACGUAGGCAACCUGCCUGUACGACCGGGAUAACUCCGGGAAACCGGAGCUAAUACCGGAUAGGAUGCCGAACCGCAUGGUUCGGCAUGGAAAGGCCUUUGAGCCGCGUACAGAUGGGCCUGCGGCGCAUUAGCUAGUUGGUGGGGUAACGGCCUACCAAGGCGACGAUGCGUAGCCGACCUGAGAGGGUGAACGGCCACACUGGGACUGAGACACGGCCCAGACUCCUACGGGAGGCAGCAGUAGGGAAUCUUCCGCAAUGGACGAAAGUCUGACGGAGCAACGCCGCGUGAGUGAGGAAGGUCUUCGGAUCGUAAAACUCUGUUGUCAGGGAAGAACCGCCGGGAUGACCUCCCGGUCUGACGGUACCUGACGAGAAAGCCCCGGCUAACUACGUGCCAGCAGCCGCGGUAAUACGUAGGGGGCAAGCGUUGUCCGGAAUUAUUGGGCGUAAAGCGCGCGCAGGCGGCUUCUUAAGUCAGGUGUGAAAGCCCACGGCUCAACCGUGGAGGACCAUCUGAAACUGGGGAGCUUGAGUGCAGGAGAGGAGAGCGGAAUUCCACGUGUAGCGGUGAAAUGCGUAGAGAUGUGGAGGAACACCAGUGGCGAAGGCGGCUCUCUGGCCUGUAACUGACGCUGAGGCGCGAAAGCGUGGGGAGCAAAACAGGAUUAGAUACCCUGGUAGUCCACGCCGUAAACGAUGAGUGCUAGGUGUUGGGGAGUCCACCUCCUCAGUGCCGCAGCUAACGCAAUAAGCACUCCGCCUGGGGAGUACGGCCGCAGGCUGAAACUCAAAGGAAUUGACGGGGACCCGCACAAGCGGUGGGA